rnacentral:misc_RNA from 1 species
GUAGGUGAACCUGCGGAAGGAUCAUUAUUGAAUCUUUUUUCAAAAAAAACAAAAAACCAAAAAAGAAAAGAAAUGAAAAAGAAAAGAAAUGGAAACAAGAAGGAAAACAAAAGAACAAGGAAAAAGGAAAACACAAGAAAAAAAAACACUCGUUUUUUUGCUUUUGCUUUCUCAAGAUUUGUGGUUGGGGUCGCUUUUCGAAUUUAUUUUCGAAAGGUGAAGACAAAUCGGAAAGAAAGAAAAAACAAUG